GUUUGAUCAUGGCUCAGAUUGAACGCUGGCGGCAGGCUUAACACAUGCAAGUCGAGCGGGGGAAGGUAGCUUGCUACUGGACCUAGCGGCGGACGGGUGAGUAAUGCUUAGGAAUCUGCCUAUUAGUGGGGGACAACAUCUCGAAAGGGAUGCUAAUACCGCAUACGUCCUACGGGAGAAAGCAGGGGAUCUUCGGACCUUGCGCUAAUAGAUGAGCCUAAGUCGGAUUAGCUAGUUGGUGGGGUAAAGGCCUACCAAGGCGACGAUCUGUAGCGGGUCUGAGAGGAUGAUCCGCCACACUGGGACUGAGACACGGCCCAGACUCCUACGGGAGGCAGCAGUGGGGAAUAUUGGACAAUGGGGGGAACCCUGAUCCAGCCAUGCCGCGUGUGUGAAGAAGGCCUUAUGGUUGUAAAGCACUUUAAGCGAGGAGGAGGCUACUUUAGUUAAUACCUAGAGAUAGUGGACGUUACUCGCAGAAUAAGCACCGGCUAACUCUGUGCCAGCAGCCGCGGUAAUACAGAGGGUGCGAGCGUUAAUCGGAUUUACUGGGCGUAAAGCGUGCGUAGGCGGCUUAUUAAGUCGGAUGUGAAAUCCCCGAGCUUAACUUGGGAAUUGCAUUCGAUACUGGUGAGCUAGAGUAUGGGAGAGGAUGGUAGAAUUCCAGGUGUAGCGGUGAAAUGCGUAGAGAUCUGGAGGAAUACCGAUGGCGAAGGCAGCCAUCUGGCCUAAUACUGACGCUGAGGUACGAAAGCAUGGGGAGCAAACAGGAUUAGAUACCCUGGUAGUCCAUGCCGUAAACGAUGUCUACUAGCCGUUGGGGCCUUUGAGGCUUUAGUGGCGCAGCUAACGCGAUAAGUAGACCGCCUGGGGAGUACGGUCGCAAGACUAAA
rnacentral:rRNA from 1 species